UUCCCACACCUCCACCAGCACACGCAGCAAAAGACCCAUAGCAUCCCCGCCGGACGAGCAGCACUCACAGCGGCUAGGUGAGCCGACCAUCUACAGUAGCAAGUGGCUAAUGCUAACGGGCAUUCUGAUGGAAACCUGUUUACCCGCCGAGGUUAAGGAUUAAAGUCGAGACUGCCGGGACAACGAUGCUGCUCCUGUCAGAUGUGACGGGUCUGGAGUAAUUGCAACGACAAGAAAUCACUACAGACUUUAUUGAAGACUAGAGCGGAUAACAACUCUAUUAUUAUUUAAUUGUUUAUUUAUCUAUUUAUUACCACUGUAUGACUUUUAGAUCAUUCAAUUCUGUGUUUGUAUGAUUUGUGUAAAUCGUGUAUUUAUUUAAAGUAUCCUCCAGACCACCCAAGAAGGAUGGGCCCUGUUGAGUCUGGUUCCUCUCAAGGUUUCUUCCUGUAAUUUUCAGGGAGUUUUUCCUUGCCACAGUCGCCCUCGGCUUGCUCAACAGGGGUUUUUGUAUCUGUUGGUCCUGGAUUUUGUAAAGUUGCUUUGAGACAAGGUAUAUUGUAAAAAGCGCUAUAUAAAUAAAGUUGACUUGACUUGA